rnacentral:tRNA from 15 species
GAGAGGUGGGUCGCAUGGUCUUCAACCGGACUCGGUAGGCUGACUGUCGGCUGAAGGUUCGAU